GGUGUUUUGCUUUCUUUAAAGUAAAUCCUUCAGUUGAGGUAUCACUUGGAUAUAAAUCCUUCAUCUUAAAGUAAAUCCUUCAGUUGAGUGAACAUGACCAGAGGCAAACUAAUAGUGUUUCAGUAAGCUUAUAAAUUUUCCAUAGAGAAGAAAUGAAGGGAGAAGCAUUCUUAGAGGUAUGCUUAUGAACACCGUUUGAUUCUUGGUCAUAUGUAUCACUCUUGGCUUUAGGACACUUCUGAUAUCGUCUCGAGAAAAGACAAAAGCAUUUGGUUGGCAUUUGGUGCUGAUGUGGGUAUUUCUUAUUAUGUCAUCUGCAGUUGGACCUCAACAACAGCAAGAAGUUAUGACCCGGUUACUCGAGCCUUCGAGCCAUCAGUGA
rnacentral:lncRNA from 1 species